AAAAUGGGUCUAACGAUCACACCUACUUGACUGGACUACAAUGAGGAAUCAAGUGAAUGCUAAGAAAAUGCUUUGUUAGUCGCAAAUCCCUGCAAAGACACAAGAUAUUUCAGGGUUCUCGAAUGACUUCCUUCAUGUAGGAGUCACAAUUCGCUCCUGUCCCUCUUCUCUGCUUUAACCAUCUGUCUCUCCAAUCUGAAAUCUGUUCCAUCUGAGCCCUAGCUGACCAGAGCCUUCCCUCUCCCUCUGUCCUGCCACGGCCUCCCCCUCCCAACCCUGGCUUGGCUCUGGGGGUGCUCAGUGGAAUAUGCAAAUGUCUCCCUAACCAGCUGGUGUCUGCCUCCCAGAAACACAUGUUCUUAAGCCUCUCUGCCUCACCAGGGAGGGGGGACCAGAGCCUCUGUCCAUGCCACAGCCCGGAGAGGACAUAUUACCGAGCAAGGAACAGCACAGCAAGCAGAUGGAGAAGGACUGCUAGCCACGGGGGAGGAAGGCAGGAGAGGAGCAGUGCCGUCUCUCCCAUCUAUGUAGCCUCAAUCUCCACCCAGAGAGGCACCUUCUUGUUCAACCUGUGUUCUACUGCCUUUGUCCUUAAAACUGUAAGACCACUUUGGAGGGCCUUGCGCCUUAGGGAUGGUGAGGAGCCAUCCUUCAUCUCCUGUCAGAAACCCACAAAACUUCACAAAACCCACAGUAGCCUCUGCUCUGCCAUCAGAGAAUGCCCUGCCCAGUUCUGCCAUAUCAGAGCGGCGGCUUUGCUCCCCGGCGCCUGCCCCAGCAAGGUCUGGGGUGCAAUUUCUUCUACAUCUCUUCUCCCACAUCCAGAGGUGACCUCCAGAUCCUGAGAGGCAACAGGUGUCACUCUAGAGGGCAGGAACCUCCUGUCUCCUGGCAGGCCUGGUAUAUCCCGAUAUCCCUUGUUCUCUGCCCAUAAAGCCACCAACAGAGGCUAUCCGCGCCCUGCCUCAGCAAGAAGACGCCAAGUUGCCUUCUACUCCUGCUGAGAGGAGAUCAAACUCUUGCCGAGUGCCCCCAAGGGGCUUCCGGCUCCUCCUUUCUGGGCCUCCUCAGUUGGACUGGAUCCCACAUUGGCACUUACCAGAAUGAGAGAGGGAUCUGCUGCCUGGCCCCCCAGCGGGGAUCCCCGACCUGAAUCAGCCACAUCCAGCCAAGCCACUGGGGUUUAUGAGCCAUCUGGCUUUGAAGGUGAGCCCGCUCCCUGUCCCCUUCACAGGCUGUGUCCUCUCAGCCCUGGCCAGGAGUCGCUGCCCCCGCAGUCUAGCUAGGUCACCACCAGCCCACAGUUUGGCUCAGCUGGAAAGCAGGCACCAACACGGAGUUGGAAGUGCAGAUUGAUCGAAGGUGAUUCCUGGGAAAGAUCAAGGGGGAGGGGCAGCAGGGGGAGCAGUAAAAGCCUUCAGGUGGUGAUGAGGGUGUGGGAAGUAGAAAAGUUCCUUUUUAAAGUUUCCUUUCUUGUUAAAGAAUAAGUGUGCUAAUAACUUUGUUAAGCCCUAACCUAUGUAGCUGUUAGGCAUGCCAUGCUUACAGGCACAUAGUACAGUCUAAGUCCUUGUACUUUAACCAAGAUAUCUGUGCUGGACGUGCUCACAGCCAUGUCCCAGCUCUCCAUUGCUUCCACCUGCUUAGAAAAGUUUUAAGUUGUUAGCCAAUCGGGUGUUAGUUUAGAUUGUGAGGUCUGGCUCCAGCCAACGGAGAUUAGACACAGCAGUCAGGACGACCCCAAAUGCGUAAGGAAUACAUUCGUGUGUUUUCCUUUGUUCAUUGUACUCUUGUAGCACACUGGCUAGU
ensembl:lncRNA